AAUGAUUCUGAGUUCUCAAUAUAGUGUCUAAGUUAUAUAAUAAAGUUGGUUUUCUGUUAAUCCAAUAAAGACACUGUAUCUUUUACAUGAAAAAGGUAAUUGAUGGGAUUUUCUGAACCAUCAUUAUUUGGCAAAAGGAUAUAUUUCACUGGCAAAGUGAAAUAUAUUGAUGAUAUAUUGAUGUUAUGAUAGACAAGGGAUUAACUCAGAAUCAAUAUACAGAUUUUGUUGUUAUGAAAACCUAUAAAAUCCUAUGGCUUGUAGAGUUAUUAUGAGUGAGACAUGAGAUUAAAACCAGAAUUGUCAUAUUGGAUAUACAUUAUGAUUGUGAGACCCAUUAUUACGUAUGCCACCAAUAUUUUGUGAGCGAAUUCUGUUAAAGACAUGAAAGACUGAAUUUGAGAAAAUUCAAAGAAUGUACUGUCUAAGCAUCAAUGGAGCUGUGAGAACUACUACUACUGCUGUUCUCAAUAUCCUUUUGGGCAUUUCCUUCUUAUAUUUGAAUGCUGAGGCUGAUACUAGGAGAGAUCAACUGUGAGAGAAUUUCUUGGAUGCAUAAAGUAGAGCAAGCAUAUUUUGAACUGGAACGAAUCACAGUCACAUUCUUGAGAUGGAUAAAAUCGCAUGAUGUUGAGAUUCAGCUUCUUCAGACUAUUCACUAUUGUUUUUCCUAGCAUGGAGAGGAUGAAUUUGGGUGCAAUAUCAAGGAUGAACUGGUCUGGUAUACAGAUCAUUCUAAAAUCUUUAUUGAUUGUAGGGAUGGGUUUACUGCAAGGGAAUGAAGAUAUAUAUUAUAAUUCUCUUGGACAAUUUGCUACUCCUUCAGGC
rnacentral:lncRNA from 1 species